ACGGCUCAGUAACACGUGGACAACCUACCCUGAGGUCGGGGAUAAACCCGGGAAACUGGGUAUAAUACCCGAUAGAUCUAGAUCGCUGGAAUGCUUUUAGGUCUAAAGUUCCGACGCCUCAGGAUGGGUCUGCGGCCUAUCAGGGUAGUAGUGGGUGUAAAGUACCUACUAGCCUACGACGGGUACGGGUUGUGAGAGCAAGAGCCCGGAGAUGGAUUCUGAGACACGAAUCCAGGCCCUACGGGGUGCAGCAGGCGCGAAACCUUUACAAUGCUGGCAACAGCGAUAAGGGGACCUCGAGUGCUACGAUACAAUCGUGGCUGUCUAGUUGCCUAAAAAGCAAUUGAUAGCAAGAGCCGGGCAAGACCGGUGCCAGCCGCCGCGGUAACACCGGCGGCUCGAGUGGUAACCGCUAUUAUUGGGUCUAAAGGGUCUGUAGCCGGCUUAGUUAGUCUCUUGAGAAAUCUGGCCGCUCAACGGUCAGGCGUUCAGGGGAUACUGCUAAAGCUCGAGACCGGGAGAGGUGAGAGGUACUUCAGGGGUAGGGGUGAAAUCUUGUAAUCCUUGAAGGACCACCAGUGGCGAAGGCGUCUCACCAGAACGGAUCUGACGGCAAGGGACGAAAGCUAGGGGCACGAACCGGAUUAGAUACCCGGGUAGUCCUAGCCGUAAACGAUACUCGCUAGGUGUCGGCCACGGUGCGACCGUGGUCGGUGCCGUAGGGAAGCCGUGAAGCGAGCCACCUGGGAAGUACGGCCGCAAGGCUGAAACUUAAAGGAAUUGGCGGGGGAGCAC
rnacentral:rRNA from 1 species